rnacentral:rRNA from 1 species
UAUCCCCCCUGUGUGCCUUGCCCCCACGACUACUCCUACGGGAGGCAGCAGUGGGGAAUAUUGCACAAUGGGCGCAAGCCUGAUGCAGCCAUGCCGCGUGUAUGAAGAAGGCCUUCGGGUUGUAAAGUACUUUCAGCAGUGAGGAAGGUGGAUAUGUUAAUAGCAUAUUCAUUUGACGUUAGCUGCAGAAGAAGCACCGGCUAACUCCGUGCCAGCAGCCGCGGUAAUACGGAGGGUGCGAGCGUUAAUCGGAAUUACUGGGCGUAAAGCGCAUGCAGGUGGUUUGUUAAGUCAGAUGUGAAAGCCCGGGGCUCAACCUCGGAAUUGCAUUUGAAACUGGCAAACUAGAGUACUGUAGAGGGGGUAGAAUUUCAGGUGUAGCGGUGAAAUGCGUAGAGAUCUGAAGGAAUACCGGUGGCGAAGGCGGCCCCCUGGACAGAUACUGACACUCAGAUGCGAAAGCGUGGGGAGCAAACAGGAUUAGAUACCCUGGUAG